ACCCAAGACGGCCUGUUGGUGGUGCCAUUAUCAGAUUCUUGGGAUAAGAUUUAAGGCUUUGUUUAUGCUACACAUUUUCCUUUUAAAUCUUCCCGGCUGAGAAGGAGGGUGAGAUAGGCAUAUUAAACAAUUGCUAGGGACCCGAGAAGGCCUCCAGGCUAAAGACAUACCCCUGGGAGGUCCAGCUAAGGAGCCUGUCUAGAAAAUAUGAGUCAGUCAGAAUUUAAAUAUGGGCAUGCCUUGCAAAUGUGAGAGCAGUAUUUUUCUUCCAAUUUGGGAUAUCAGUUCUUUUAUUUACAUAUAUUUCUUAGACCUAGCUCAGUCUCUAGGGUCUAGCUUUUGGUUUGGGGAAAUAUAUGUUUCUUUCAAAAGUUCAUAAUUUUUGUUUUUAUGGAGAAGUCCAAAGGUUCAAGGCAGUUUACCAAGCCUAAAAUGGAAACCAAACUGCCAAACUGUGGAAUUUAAAUUUCAGUUGUGUGGCAAUAAAUAUCAAUGACGUAGGAGACCCUCCAGUGAAGACUUGUCAUGAGAUUCCCAAGGGUGUGCUGGCAUUGCUGUCUUUGGUUGCCCUGGAUGGUCCCUCUCACUCUGCCUUCCUCUUCCCUCCACGGGUCCUGCAGGAGACCAAGUUGCCUGUGAGUCUGUUUUCCCCUGGAUUGUGAGGUCCCUACACAGUAGUCAUGCACGGUGCUGGGUUCAGAGUCCUGGGAAGUGAGUGAGGAAAGAAGAAAGGCAGAGACGUAUGCCACAGAGAAAGGAGAGCUGUGUGGCAAGGUGGCUUUCCAGAGAUGCUCAUCUAUCUCUCUUGCACAUAAGAGUCCAGAGGCAUUGCCGUCUUUACAACAACAGUUGCUAAUAAAGAAAUUACUCAAGGAAAACCGCACUCUGCCCCAUAUCCACCAACACAGAAAGACCUCUCUCCGUGACCCAGGGCUCAACAGAGAAAAUGAGUUAUCUGUUACUGCAACAUGAAUGAUCCUCAACCUAGUUGGUGUCACUUCCUAUGGAACACACUGUCACUGAUGUCAUAAGAAACUAAUUUGGAAACCUGAUGUACCCAGAAGCAACUGUCAUUCCAGCACUUGGGAAGUAAAAAUAAGAAGAUCAGGAGUUCAAACUCAUCCUCAGAUAUACAGAAAGAGGCAGAAGGUGGUCCUCUCCUGUACUGGCUCUAAGGAAGAUGCAAAGUGGAUGACUGACGGUUACAGAAGAGCCCGAUUAAGUUUUUGUCCUGGGUAGUUUUACAUCAUCUUGACACAAGCUAGAGUCAUCUGAAAGGAGGGAGCCUCAACUGAGAAAAUGCCUCCAUAAGAUCCAAUUGUAAGGUUCCUGCUUUGUUUAAGUUCCUGCCUUGGCUGGACUCCCUCAGUGGACUAUGACUCUGGGUAUGUAAACCAUGUAAACCCUUCCCUCCCCAAGUUGCUUUUGGU